rnacentral:piRNA from 4 species
GUUGGUGGUAUAGUGGUGAGCAU